rnacentral:rRNA from 1 species
GAAGAAUAGGGCGCAGCCUGACGCAGCGACGCCGCGUGGGUGAUGAAGGCCUUCGGGUUGUAAAGCCCUGUCGUGGGGGAAGAAAGGGAUGGGGGUUAAUACCCGGGGGGCUGGUCGGUCCCUGCGAAGGGCCCCCCGGUUAACUCCGGGCCAGCAGCCGCGGUAUAAAGACCGUCACCCUGGUUUGCUUACUUUCUG